GUGAGGACGGAGAUUCAGAGCUACUGUGUUUGGACAGCUGGAGCUGCUGUCAGCUGACUCCCUGCAAGUGUUCCAGGUGUCCCAGCGCUCCUCCAUAUGAAGAAGAUGUUCAGACAGUUUCUUCAUUCAACAAACACCACCAGGGAUCAACUGCACUGUCUCAGAGGACAGUUGCCCAGGAGACAGACACCCAGGAGACAGACACCCAGGAGACAGUUGCCCAGGAGACAGACGUCAAGGAGACAGACACCAAGCAGACAGUUGACCAGGAGACAGACGUCAAGGAGACAGUUGACCAGGAGACAGUUGACCAGGAGACAGUUGACCAGGAGACAGAGGUCAAGGAGACAGACACCCAGGAGACAGACACCCAGGAGACAGUUGACCAGGAGACAGAGGGGGACAGUGAGCAGAGUUUACCCAGAGUAAGAGCUCUACAGCUGGGUGAAAGCUCCGGGCUCUACCCCAGUCUGAGUCAGUGGAGGAUCACAGCUGGCACUCAGGCUGAACUGAGCAAGAAACAGAAACAGGAAGGCCACAACUUCCA